rnacentral:snRNA from 1 species
UCACUUCAGAAGUGUGCAGACUAAACCUGGAACCAGAGAAGGAAGCUUAGGAUGGCCCCUGCACAAGGAUGACGGGAGAUACCAGAGAAUCCCGGGCACUGGCU